ACACCUUCCACUACACCUCAAGAUCUUAGGAGACAGAAGCUCAAGAGACAAAAUCCACCGAAAGCAGUCCUGCAUCAUUCAAUGGGCUCCGUGGGACUCCAUCUUUAAAGUAAAGAGAAGCGAUAAGAAAAAGACUCCCCCCCCCCCCCGCUUUCCUGUGCUCAUGGGAUGAGGUUUCUAGGCAAAAAGAUACUCCCCAAAUCUCUCUUCCUCAUGUUAUCUCAG
rnacentral:lncRNA from 11 species